rnacentral:lncRNA from 1 species
CAUCUUUUAUAAUGAGGAGUUCAAAUGAUUUGUUAUCAUUAGAACUUUUAAUAUCAAGUGUAUCAUAAAAGCAAAAUCAAACCCCUUAAUCGUAUUCUUAAGAGUUUCAGCUGUAAGUCUGUCAAGAUAAUUUGGGCACUUAUGUGCAACAAAUCCAAGCACAUAAAGAAUUGAUGGAAAUAUGUCAAUGAAGUUCUCUAGUGAGAACCCUAACGAGUGUCACAUGACGUUUGAAGUCCAC